CAACCUGCCUAUAACUAGGAAAUAACCUUGCGAAAGUAAGACUAAUACCCUAUGACUUCCUUUGAUGACAUCAAAUUAGGAAUAAAGAUUUAUCGGUUAUAGAUGGGGAUGCGUCUGAUUAGCUUGUUGGCGGGGUAACGGCCCACCAAGGCAACGAUCAGUAGGGGUUCUGAGAGGAAGGUCCCCCACAUUUGAACUGAGACACGGUCCAAACUCCUACGGGAGGCAGCAGUGAGGAAUAUUGGUCAAUGGGCGGAAGCCUGAACCAGCCAAGUAGCGUGCAGGAUGACGGCCCUAUGGGUUGUAAACUGCUUUUAUACAGGGAUAAAGUUAGCCACGUGUGGUUAUUUGCAGGUACUGUAUGAAUAAGGACCGGCUAAUUCCGUGCCAGCAGCCGCGGUAAUACGGAAGGUCCAGGCGUUAUCCGGAUUUAUUGGGUUUAAAGGGAGCGUAGGCCGUCUGUUAGGCGUGUUGUGAAAUGUAGAUGCUCAACAUCUGAAUUGCAGCGCGAACUGGCAG
rnacentral:rRNA from 1 species